rnacentral:rRNA from 1 species
CUACGGGUUGCUGCAGUGGGGAAUUUUGCGCAAUGGGCGAAAGCCUGACGCAGCAACGCCGCGUGCGGGAUGAAGGCCUUCGGGUCGUAAACCGCUGUCAAGUGGGAAGAACCCUGACGGUACCACUGAAGGAAGCCCCGGCUAACUUCGUGCCAGCAGCCGCGGUAAUACGAAGGGGGCAAGCGUUGUUCGGAAUCAUUGGGCGUAAAGCGUAUGUAGGCGGCUGGAUAAGUCGGGCGUGCAAGCCCGCGGCUCAACCGCGGAAUGGCGCUCGAAACUGUCCGGCUUGAGUGCAGGAGAGGAAAGCGGAAUUCCCAGUGUAGCGGUGAAAUGCGUUGAUAUUGGGAAGAACACCAGUGGCGAAGGCGGCUUUCUGGCCUGCAACUGACGCUGAGAUACGAAAGCCAGGGGAGCGAACGGGAUUAGAUACCCCAGUAGUC